rnacentral:tRNA from 1 species
GUCCCGUUCGUCUAGCCCGGCCUAGGACACCGCCCUUUCACGGCGGCAACAGGGGUUCGAAUCCCCUACGGGACGCCA